UACGGAGGAUCCAAGCGUUAUCCGGAUUUAUUGGGUUAAAGGGUGCGUAGGUGGCGAGGUUAGUCAGGUGUGAAAUCUCGGGGCUCAACCCCGAAACUGCACUUGAUACUGCCUUGCUAGAGUACUGGAGAGGAGAUUGGAAUUUACGGUGUAGCAGUGAAAUGCGUAGAUAUCGUAAGGAAGACCAGUGGCGAAGGCGAAUCUCUGGACAGUUACUGACACUGAGGCACGAAGGCCAGGGGGAGCAAACGGG
rnacentral:rRNA from 1 species